GACGAACGCUGGCGGCAGGCUUAACACAUGCAAGUCGAGCGGAGCGAGGGUGCUUGCACCUUAGCUUAGCGGCGGACGGGUGAGUAAUGCUUAGGAAUCUGCCUAUUAGUGGGGGACAACAUUCCGAAAGGAAUGCUAAUACCGCAUACGCCCUACGGGGGAAAGCAGGGGAUCUUCGGACCUUGCGCUAAUAGAUGAGCCUAAGUCGGAUUAGCUAGUUGGUGGGGUAAAGGCCUACCAAGGCGACGAUCUGUAGCGGGUCUGAGAGGAUGAUCCGCCACACUGGGACUGAGACACGGCCCAGACUCCUACGGGAGGCAGCAGUGGGGAAUAUUGGACAAUGGGCGGAAGCCUGAUCCAGCCAUGCCGCGUGUGUGAAGAAGGCCUUUUGGUUGUAAAGCACUUUAAGCGAGGAGGAGGCUACUUAGAUUAAUACUCUGGGAUAGUGGACGUUACUCGCAGAAUAAGCACCGGCUAACUCUGUGCCAGCAGCCGCGGUAAUAC
rnacentral:rRNA from 1 species